GUGCUCGCUUCAGCAGCACAUAUACUAAAAUUGGAACGAUACAGACAUUAGCAUGGCCCCUGUGCAAGGAUGACACGCAAAUUUGUGAAGUGUUCCAUAUUUUC
rnacentral:snRNA from 1 species